rnacentral:rRNA from 1 species
UACGUAGGGUGCGAGCGUUGUCCGGAAUUAUUGGGCGUAAAGAGCUUGUAGGCGGUUUGUCGCGUCUGCUGUGAAAAUCCGGGGCUCAACUCCGGACUUGCAGUGGGUACGGGCAGGCUAGAGUGUGGUAGGGGAAACUGGAAUUCCUGGUGUAGCGGUGGAAUGCGCAGAUAUCAGGAGGAACACCGAUGGCGAAGGCAGGUCUCUGGGCCACUACUGACGCUGAGAAGCGAAAGCAUGGGGAGCGAACAGG